rnacentral:rRNA from 4 species
UUUUAUGGAGAGUUUGAUCCUGGCUCAGGAUGAACGCUGGCGGCGUGCCUAAUACAUGCAAGUCGAGCGAACGGACGAGAAGCUUGCUUCUCUGAUGUUAGCGGCGGACGGGUGAGUAACACGUGGAUAACCUACCUAUAAGACUGGGAUAACUUCGGGAAACCGGAGCUAAUACCGGAUAAUAUUUUGAACCGCAUGGUUCAAAAGUGAAAGACGGUCUUGCUGUCACUUAUAGAUGGAUCCGCGCUGCAUUAGCUAGUUGGUAAGGUAACGGCUUACCAAGGCAACGAUGCAUAGCCGACCUGAGAGGGUGAUCGGCCACACUGGAACUGAGACACGGUCCAGACUCCUACGGGAGGCAGCAGUAGGGAAUCUUCCGCAAUGGGCGAAAGCCUGACGGAGCAACGCCGCGUGAGUGAUGAAGGUCUUCGGAUCGUAAAACUCUGUUAUUAGGGAAGAACAUAUGUGUAAGUAACUGUGCACAUCUUGACGGUACCUAAUCAGAAAGCCACGGCUAACUACGUGCCAGCAGCCGCGGUAAUACGUAGGUGGCAAGCGUUAUCCGGAAUUAUUGGGCGUAAAGCGCGCGUAGGCGGUUUUUUAAGUCUGAUGUGAAAGCCCACGGCUCAACCGUGGAGGGUCAUUGGAAACUGGAAAACUUGAGUGCAGAAGAGGAAAGUGGAAUUCCAUGUGUAGCGGUGAAAUGCGCAGAGAUAUGGAGGAACACCAGUGGCGAAGGCGACUUUCUGGUCUGUAACUGACGCUGAUGUGCGAAAGCGUGGGGAUCAAACAGGAUUAGAUACCCUGGUAGUCCACGCCGUAAACGAUGAGUGCUAAGUGUUAGGGGGUUUCCGCCCCUUAGUGCUGCAGCUAACGCAUUAAGCACUCCGCCUGGGGAGUACGACCGCAAGGUUGAAACUCAAAGGAAUUGACGGGGACCCGCACAAGCGGUGGAGCAUGUGGUUUAAUUCGAAGCAACGCGAAGAACCUUACCAAAUCUUGACAUCCUUUGACAACUCUAGAGAUAGAGC